CCCUAUGGGGUGCAGCAGGCGAGAAAACUUUGCAAUGUGCGAAAGCACGACAAGGUUAAUCCGAGUGGUUUCAGCUAAAGGAACCUUUUGUCAGUCCUAGAAACACUGAUGAAUAAGGGGUGGGCAAGUUCUGGUGUCAGCCGCCGCGGUAAAACCAGCACCUCAAGUGGUCAGGAUGAUUAUUGGGCCUAAAGCAUCCGUAGCCGGCUCUGUAAGUUUUCGGUUAAAUCUGUACGCUCAGCGUACAGGCUGCCGGGAAUACUGCAAAGCUAGGGAGUGGGAGAGGUAGACGGUACUCGGUAGGAAGGGGUAAAAUCCUUUGAUCUAUUGAUGACCACCUGUGGCGAAGGCGGUCUACCAGAACACGUCCGACGGUGAGGGAUGAAAGCUGGGGGAGCAAACCGGAUUAGAUACCCGGGUAGUCCCAGCUGUAAACCAUGCAAACUCAGUGAUGCAUUGGCUUGUGGCCAAUGCAGUGCUGCAGGGAAGCCGUUAAGUUUGCCCCCUGGGAAGUACGUACGCAAGUAUGAAACUUAAAGGAAUUGGGCGGGGGGAGCACCACAAGGGGGUGAAGGCUGGCGGUCAAUUGGAGUCAACGCCAGAAAUCUUACCCGGAGAGACAGCAGAAUGAAAGUCAAGCUGAAGACUUUACCAGACAAGCUGAGAAGGGGUGCAUGGCCAAAGGCGAAUUCGUUUAA
rnacentral:rRNA from 1 species